rnacentral:lncRNA from 1 species
GAGGUCUACACAGUGACUGACUAAUGUUCUACGAUCGGCACUACCCGAAGAAGACAAUCCGUAAACACAUCCAAUAUAUGUUUCGAAAUACGCUUGUCUCCUUUAUUUUCAUGGCCAUGUGGCCACGCCCAUCCCCAUUGUUAUUUGAUAACUACAAAGAAAAUGCUCUGCGCAUCGCUUGCAUUAUAACUAUACCAUUAAAUGCCUACAUACGUCACCUCGAUUUCUAUAAAAUUUUCGAACAUAAAAAUUUCAAAUGAAACGUGAGGGUCUCAAAAUGUCGAAGCGGAUUGACCGAAACGGGUCCACAGCGGCCAACAACGCUUGGAACAAAAGUAAAGCUUCUGGUGACUUUUCAGCGGCUUGUGUGCAACGAACAUACUUUUGUUACUUUCUUUGCUGUAUCAUUAGUUGCGACUGAAUUUUGUACUAAAUAUAUACUUUUUGUCUUAUACAUUAUCUCAUGUCGCAUCAAAACGGACUUCAAGCAAUUUAUAGUAUGAGAAUACGAACAGUUUAUUUGAAUACGUUCUUGUACCUAGUAACAUCUUUAGUUGAUAUAAACAAAAGCGAACCGGCAAGUAAAAAAGAGUACAGCUGUGGAUUUAGGGACACGUGUACACGCGGGCAAGUAAGGCGAUCGACGAUAAGAGCUAACGAUGGAAAAGACCAGGGAAGCACGAGUAUGACGUGAAACCACUGUAUAAACUUGCAGCAUUUUCUCGGGUUACACAACGGCUGUCACGGUUGGCUUUCUCUUGCAAUUAAUAGUACAAAAAAAGCUAGUCAAAUUUCAGAAUUCGCAUGCUUGAGCCGUUUAACCGGAUGGGCUGCUUACCAGUCUGAAGUCAACCACUUCCAUGGCUCAUUCAUGAAUACAUAUACAUAUUUUGCACAAAAAUAGAUCGGCUUUCAAGAGUGUGCGCAGAUAUUCGCACUUCAAUGGUCUUUGCUGUUUUUCUCUUCUCCUGUUUUCAUGCAACAGCAACCUACUACAACUAAUUACUACAUCGCAGAUUCUACAUCACGGAACGGAGCUGUACCUUUCGACAGGCGUUACACUGCGGCAAAAGAGCACCGACUGUGCAGCCGAUGCAGACAACGUAGCAACACACUAAAAUAGUGGCCUGCAUUUUGGACGCACCAGGAGUCAACCAGCGACUGACACAGUUCGGUCAAUGUUACUCCCUUAUAGCACCGCUAUCUGGAGAGGGCACACGGUGUUCGCCUCGCCCCACAAAAACGUGCUAUCUAGACAUCACCACGAAGCCAUGAGCGAGAAGCUCAGCAAUGAAUUCGAUAGUUCUGAAGCAACUUCUGGUGCAGUUGGUCAGAUAUACUUUCUGUUUGAUAUAUGGGAAUUGGUAAGCAUUAGGUUUUUGUAGCUCCCAUUCCAACCAUUUGUCAGCUUUCCUAGUCUAAUCCUGCCCAACAAAGAGUCGGCAGGAAUCAUAUUUAGCGAUUACUGACUUAGUUUCAUAAUUCAUUUUCGAAGAUUCAAAAUAUUUUCAGGAACCAAGUACCUACCCAAAAUGUAAACGUUACUUUGAUUAGAUACUACCACUCACUUUUGAACUUCCUGCAACGUCUUAGGAGAACGAUAUUUAGGUUUUACAUUGACGCAGAAAUUUGAUUUUUAUGUUAAAAAUACAACCUGCGCGUUUUCAAGCGUUUUUAGCUUGAAUUAUACUAUUAACCGAUCACUUCAAGUCAAAACGAGUCGACUAUGUAAAAUAGACAACUGGCAAGUAUAUUUGAUUUAGAUUAUCCCUAUUGGAACGUAAUAAUUUCAUGGUUAGCUUUCUCAGUAAAAUUGUUUCAUAUGGAAAACGAGUCAAUGUUUGAAAAGUAUCACGGCUACCAUAAUCUACCAUUUCCAACUGCCCGAAGCCAUAUGUAUUUCAACUUUUAUUCGUAAUUUUUUUUGGCUGGAUCCCUCAUAUUUAUGGAGUAAUCACCUAUUGCUAUUUCUACAGCUACAGACACAUAGGACAUCUUCAAGCUCAUAUAACCAAUUAACAUGACGAAAUUUUACUUUUGCCCAUUUUGCUAUGCGAGGGCACAGAACGAUUUUUGGCUAUAUUCUAUCCCUAGAAUAUCGACAUGGUGCCAUACAUCUUCCUUAGAUCUCAGCGGCUUCAUCAAAACACACAUGCAUAACGAUUGAACAACAGGCCUUCGAGAGGAGCUGGCAGACAUCGAAACAACUGGGUUUGUACUACCCAAUGUUAGCCAUGACUCGCUAUUUUCGUCCAUGGCCGUCAGUUCAAGGCAAAAACAAUUCUUGCACAGUCUGUUAACCCCUUAGUUUCUGAUUAGUUAGUUUCUGAUUGUCCUACCUACAGCAAAUGUGCACAUAUGUGAUUUAUACUAAAUUUACUAAUUAGACUAGAUGGCAACUAAUUGGAAUAACCUUGUUCUAAAUAAUAAUAAUAAUGUUCGAGCAGAGC